CUCAACUCCAAAUCCCAUGCUUUCUGCCUGUAAGCUGCUGGGGUCCUGUAGCCUAUAAAAGAGGACACAAGAGACUCCAAAUCUGAAAACUCAUGUCUGAAGAAAUACAAAGCCCAGAAGGAAGGGCAGCCUGGAGGGAAGGUGACUCUUUCUGGGUGGUCCAGCACCUGUGCCCUCAAUAGCCCCUGUCCUCUUGAGAUGAACAAAGAUCAGCAACUGAUCCUGGAUUUGUCUGAGAAUUGCCAGGGCAGUGGUGGGUAAGGGAUCAAAAUCAGAGCCUGCCAAAGACUCGCCUCAGGAGCUGGAGGGGAAGAUGAAAGAGAUUGCCCGGAUCCGCAGGAACUACUGGAGCCUUACUGACAGCCACCCGCCCUCAAGCAAUAUUGAGGUCAGAGGCGAUGAUCUGGACAGAUUCAAGGUGCUGAGCCAUUUUGGUAGAGGGGGGAUGAGAUGGUUAGUUUCAGUUGUCCUCUUGACACAAUCUGGAAUCUUGUGGGAAGAGUCUCAGUGAGGGAUUGUCCAGCUCAAGUUGUCCUGUGGGCAUGCCUGUGAGAGAUUUGUCUUAACAGCUGUAAUUGAAGUGGGUAAACUCCUCCACUGUGGGUGGCCCUAUUCCCUAAGUAUACAUUCUGAAGUGUGUAGCAAAAAGCAGACUGAAUACCUGGAAGCUUGCAUGCAUGAAUUCGUUUCUCAUUGCUCUUGACUGUGGAUGCACUGUGGCUAGCUGCCUGGGCCACUGCCUUGACUUCAAGAUGGUGGACGAUAGCCUGGAACUGUGGGCCAAAUAAAAGCUUUCUCCUCUCA